UGCUGCACUCAGCUUCACAACACCUAACUUAUUUAAGAGCCUACAACUAAAGGAGGAGUCUAAAUCUCAUUGAUUGUCAUGCCUAAAUACCUUUAAAAAUCUGGGCCUUAAUGAUGUCUUCAGUUUCUUGGUGAUGGGGAUCUGUGUUCCCAGCAGUCAGUCUGCAAAGAGCCAGCCAAGAGCAAGAUCCAUUGUGGCAUCUGAUUCCAAAAUCUACUCAACAAUUUGCUAUGCUGAAAACAAAAGGGUACCGAGUGGAGAAAACAUUGGCUGUAAAUGCAGGAUAUUCACUGAAGAGGAACAAAUGUUACCCAGUCUAUUUUGACUCAAAUUGAAGUACAGCAGACUUACAAUGUUUUUGACACUUGACAUGUUUAUUCUUUUAAAGAGAGCCAUAAUCACAUUUAACUGUUUUGUGAAUUUCACUUAACUGCUUUAUUUCAUUGACAAUACUAACUUCUCAAGCACAGAAGAUGUGACAAUAAUAUGGUUUUCUGAAGUGUAGUAAAUAAAAAUUAUAGAUCUCUUGCAAAUGAAGGAAAGCUUAAAAAAAUCUUGCUUGAAGAACUAUUUUUCAAAAGUUUUCCAUUAAAAAAUAACCAACCAAACAUGGCGUUUGUAGCACAGCAUUACCCAGUGCUUAAUUUGUGAUUAAGGAGGACUGGGGAUCAAACAAGUAGGUGCUGGGGCUCAAGCAAAUGUUUUACUUUCAUAAAUGAUGCAGCAAACCCAGAGGUGCCAGGGCUAUGAACUGCCAAGCCUAGAGGUGCGGGGGCUCAGCCCUGGCACAACUUAAGCACUGGCAUUGCCAAUAGUUAAUGUGUAUGGUUGCAGAGGAAGGAAUGGCACAUGUGUAUUGCCAGAUGUGAAAAUAAGAGUGAGGCAAGGGUGUGUGGAAGAGGCAAUGAUUAGGAGAGAGAUUUUAACUAUAACAAGGCUUAAUCUUUCUGCCGGUUUUCAGGGCUUAUCACCCCACUUACACUGAGAGGAAGGAUGGUUCUAGUAGUUACAGUGCUAGCCUGGGACUUGGGUUUGAAUCCCUGCUUCAUCACACAUUUCAUGUGUGACCUUGAAAUAAUUGGGAGUUAGCCACUUGGCCCUUGUAAAAAUCUCGCUAAGCACCCAUCUGCAUCUUUAGGCACCUAAAUACCUUUACAAAUCUGACACUUCAGCCUGGUCUACAUGUAGCUCUGUUGCUCCAGGUGUGAAAAAUUCACAGCCUAUGAGCACUGCAGCUAUGCUGACCUAACCCUCAGUGUAGAAUCAGCUAAGUCGAUGGAAGAAUGCUUCUGUUGCUCUAGCUAUUGCUACUCAGGGAGGUGGAUUACCUACAGUGAUGGAAAUAACCUUUUUGUCCCUGUAGGAAGUGUCUACACUAUGGCGCUACUGUGGCAUAACUACAGCACCAUAACUGUGAUGCUGUAGCACUCGUAGUGUAGACAUGGCCUCAGCCUCUGUACCUCAGUUCCUCAUCUGUAAAAUGGGGGUAAUAGCACUUUCUUAUCUCACAAGGGUGGUGUGAGAAUAAAUACAUUGAAGAUUGAAAGGCAUUGAGAUACUAUGGUAAAGGGGCCAGAUAUGAACCUAAUAUUGGCUUGUCAUCCAUGAGACAACAAUGAUUGCAUUUACUCCCAAUUUACACCAGCAUCAGACUUAUCAGAGUCAGAAUUUUGUAUGGGGAGCAAAAAUAAAUAAUGUGAACUAGCCUCUUGUUUUUAUAUUCUACAUACAAAAGGAUUCAGCUAAAGGAGUAUGGCCAUUAAUGGUUUCUGAGGUUAAUUAUUUUCUCCUUUCCAAUGACAUUAUCCAUGUAGUGUAUGCAUAUUAAACUAUAUUGUUGAAUUAACUUAGCUCAGUUAUUUAACUGAGAUGCUAAUAGGCCAAAUUCAUCAUUGGUAAAACUCCAUGUUCAUCAUAAUAUUUAUGUAGCAAUUAAAAAAAAAAAAAAGAAAAAGAAAAAAAGUAGUUUAGCUCCCUAAUCUAGCUGUGUUCCUUGUAAUACAUUCCAACUGAAAAAUGGGACACAACAGGAAAUAGUUUACAAUUUUUUAUGUAAAAGGGGACUAUAACUGUCAUUUCUGUUUAGUUUAUAGUUUCCCGAGUUUUGCCAGUCUUUUAUCCCAUUCGGAUGGGCUAGUUUUUAAUUUAACUCUAUCAUGAGCAAAUUACCGACAUGAGCACUAGGGGAGGGGGAAAAUUACAUGAAUAGCUUUGAAAAUCCAAACCCUCUGCACAUUAUUAUGAAAAGUAAUAUUACAUCAUUUCUUUACUCAUCCUUAGUGCAGAGGAUCAAAUGGGAACAUUUCUCCUACACUCCAUAGGAAAGGGGCUUGGCACACACAGCAGAGUUAUUGGAAAAGGAAACUAAAAUAUAUGGUGUUAAUGAAGUGAAGUAUUUUUCUCUUUGAGGUAAAUUGAAAUGACAUGUGAAAAUCCUUCUUUUUAUUCCACUGGGGGCAAAAAACCCUCUUUUCAGAGCCAAAGCCCAGUAACAUCAGUGGGAAUGCUUCAACUGACAUCAGUAGGCUUUGGACCAGGUGGUCCAAAAACCCAUAUAGACUGAAAGGUAGAAGACCAACUGAUCUUAUGGCAGAAACUGUCUAAUGCACAGUUUGCAUAGAUAAUCUUGCCUGUAUUGCAAGCAAUGCUUUCAUUCCACAGUAUAUACCCAAAGCAAAAAAUUGGGAUUAUGUUUUUUUAUUUCACUAUCCAGUAGGCAUCUGUGAAUUGGCUCUUUUCUAAUGGUGAUGCAGGGCCUAUACUACAUCCUGUUUGUACUCUGCUAACACCACUGGCUUCCACUUCGUGUGACAUUUGUCUCUACAGUAUGCAAAGUGUUUGGGGGAGAGGGGUAGAAAAACACCCAAAACCUGACAGCAUCUUUCAUACAUUCUGAUCUGUUAUAACAAAGUGAGGAUUAAUUGGUAUGUGCUGCUUUUCAGGAUACAAAUCUAUCUUGGAAUGUAUUAAAAUAUUUUGAAUAAUAAAAAAGAAAUAGAUCUUUUUCAAUUCAUGUUGCAAAAUAUGCUAUGAAUAUGAUCUGAUAUUUAUGCAUGCAUAUCAAAAGGAAUACACUAAAAUGUCGGAGCCUGUCGUGCUGUAUUUUUUCCUUUUCUCGGGUUCUUUUGCCUAUUUACUCCAGAUUCCUCUCCGUCCUCUCUUUACUUCAUCAAUAUACUUUCAUAGUAAGGUAAAACAAGUACAGUAGAUAUAUAGUAUGAAGUAGAGCCAUGAAGCAGGACUGGGCUCCCGCAGGUCUCACUGCCAUAAUAGCGGGAGUGGGUAAAAUGUACUUUGUUGCGCAUGGGAUUGGAUGAGCAGAAACAAUAAACUGUGGUAAUUUUCAGGGAAACACUAAAUCUCUCAUCAAU